UACAAACUCGAGUUUAUUAAAACGAGCGCUGUGCGCGUGUUAAGAUCGUGUGUCUGCUGCAACGGAAAAUGGGACUUUUUUUGGUUGGAUCUUUGGAGAAUUUUGAAAUUAAGGAAUAGAAAUUGCAAUAAAAAUUUCAAGGCGAAAACUCAAGGAAUACAUACAUAUUUAUGCGAUGGUGAACUGGAAAGUAGAUAAAAAAAGCAUCUAAUAAAACAGAAGCAUGCAAUUGCUGGCGUAUGCCCACGGUUGCCAACUGUCCCGUUUUCGGCGGGAUAGUACCGGAUUUUAGAGCUAUGUCCUGGUCCUGGUGCAACACAUGCCGGGACGCAAAAUUUCCCGGAUUUUGAAGAAUUUCAAAAAUACAGAAUUGAAAUUGAUGUCUCGGUUUCAAGAAUGCAAAAGUUGGCAACCGUGGUUCUGCCUUCUCAGAAUUAGAAUCAGAUAGAGGCACCAACGUCUCUGUUAACAGUUACAAGUUUGAAAAGGUAGACGACGUCGUUUACUUGGAAACCAGCGUUAACACCUAUAACAAUGUCAGCAUCGAAAUCCAACGCAGAAUUCUUAUUGCCAAAAAGUGCUACUUUGGACUGAGUAGGCAAUUCGGGAGUAAAGUCCUUUCUCGACAUACAAAAAUCACACUCAUCAUAAGUCACUCAUCAAGCCCGUGCUGGUGAAUGGCGCGGAGGCAUGGACAAUGAAAGCAUCUGAUGAAGCGGCUCUUGGAGUUUUAGAGAGAAAGUUGCUGUAAAAGAUUGACGGCCCUUUACGCGUUGGCGAUGGCAUAUAACGGCGGAGGCGAUUUAAUGAUGAGCUGCAUGAGCUUUACAACGACAUGGACAUAGUGCAGCGAACUAAAAUUCAACGGCUCCGCAGGCUACGUAACGUCGUGCGAAUGACGCUCCAGCUGUGAAAGCAUUAAACGCUGUUCAUCAUGCUGUUAACAGAGGAAGAGGAAGGUCUCCCGCCUGCGUUGAAAAGACCAUUUGGAGAAGGACUUGGCUUCACUUGACAUUUCCAAUUUGCCUUCAGUUAGCACUGAAGAGAAAUGACUGGCGUGCUGUUUGGGACUCGCUUAGGCGGUAACACUGUCAAUGAAGAAGAAGAAGAAUAUACGCUGCCACAUCCCGUACAAAAAAGGUAUUACAUAUAAAUCCACCAGCGCCUGGAAGGUCAAUUUCUUGAGGUGACAGAAGGAAAAAUAUAGUAACUUACCCUAUAAGUUAGGAUAGCAAUAAAGAAUAAUAGUAGCAGCUAAUAUUUAAUAAAUUUGGAUAGGAUUUUCUGAGUAUCUUAUACAUAAGUGGUGUUGCAUUUGCUGGAUAAGACAAGCCAUACGUAAUCUACUUUCAUGGGCGUGCUUUUAAUUUCUUUUUACUUCGAAGUUCCAGACGUGGAUCCAUGAACGUGACUUUUUUGCAGAGCCAUCAGGAAACUGUUUUUGUAAAAUCCGGUUUAUUUAUAAAUGAUAAUAAAAGGAAUCAAUUUACUUACGUAAGUACAUAUUUAUGUAUGAAGGUAUGUACAU